GGUUAAGCGACUAAGCGUACACGGUGGAUGCCCUGGCAGUCAGAGGCGAUGAAGGACGUGCUAAUCUGCGAUAAGCGUCGGUAAGGUGAUAUGAACCGUUAUAACCGGCGAUUUCCGAAUGGGGAAACCCAGUGUGAUUCGUCACACUAUCAUUAACUGAAUCCAUAGGUUAAUGAGGCGAACCGGGGGAACUGAAACAUCUAAGUACCCCGAGGAAAAGAAAUCAACCGAGAUUCCCCCAGUAGCGGCGAGCGAACGGGGAGCAGCCCAGAGCCUGAAUCAGUGUGUGUGUUAGUGGAAGCGUCUGGAAAGGCGCGCGAUACAGGGUGACAGCCCCGUACACAAAAAUGCACAUACUGUGAGCUCGAUGAGUAGGGCGGGACACGUGGUAUCCUGUCUGAAUAUGGGGGGACCAUCCUCCAAGGCUAAAUACUCCUGACUGACCGAUAGUGAACCAGUACCGUGAGGGAAAGGCGAAAAGAACCCCGGCGAGGGGAGUGAAAAAGAACCUGAAACCGUGUACGUACAAGCAGUGGGAGCACAGAGCAAUCUGUGUGACUGCGUACCUUUUGUAUAAUGGGUCAGCGACUUAUAUUCUGUAGCAAGGUUAACCGAAUAGGGGAGCCGAAGGGAAACCGAGUCUUAACUGGGCGUUAAGUUGCAGGGUAUAGACCCGAAACCCGGUGAUCUAGCCAUGGGCAGGUUGAAGGUUGGGUAACACUAACUGGAGGACCGAACCGACUAAUGUUGAAAAAUUAGCGGAUGACUUGUGGCUGGGGGUGAAAGGCCAAUCAAACCGGGAGAUAGCUGGUUCUCCCCGAAAGCUAUUUAGGUAGCGCCUCGUGAAUUCAUCUCCGGGGGUAGAGCACUGUUUCGGCAAGGGGGUCAUCCCGACUUACCAACCCGAUGCAAACUGCGAAUACCGGAGAAUGUUAUCACGGGAGACACACGGCGGGUGCUAACGUCCGUCGUGAAGAGGGAAACAACCCAGACCGCCAGCUAAGGUCCCAAAGUCAUGGUUAAGUGGGAAACGAUGUGGGAAGGCCCAGACAGCCAGGAUGUUGGCUUAGAAGCAGCCAUCAUUUAAAGAAAGCGUAAUAGCUCACUGGUCGAGUCGGCCUGCGCGGAAGAUGUAACGGGGCUAAACCAUGCACCGAAGCUGCGGCAGCGACGCUUAUGCGUUGUUGGGUAGGGGAGCGUUCUGUAAGCCUGCGAAGGUGUGCUGUGAGGCAUGCUGGAGGUAUCAGAAGUGCGAAUGCUGACAUAAGUAACGAUAAAGCGGGUGAAAAGCCCGCUCGCCGGAAGACCAAGGGUUCCUGUCCAACGUUAAUCGGGGCAGGGUGAGUCGACCCCUAAGGCGAGGCCGAAAGGCGUAGUCGAUGGGAAACAGGUUAAUAUUCCUGUACUUGGUGUUACUGCGAAGGGGGGACGGAGAAGGCUAUGUUGGCCGGGCGACGGUUGUCCCGGUUUAAGCGUGUAGGCUGGUUUUCCAGGCAAAUCCGGAAAAUCAAGGCUGAGGCGUGAUGACGAGGCACUACGGUGCUGAAGCAACAAAUGCCCUGCUUCCAGGAAAAGCCUCUAAGCAUCAGGUAACAUCAAAUCGUACCCCAAACCGACACAGGUGGUCAGGUAGAGAAUACCAAGGCGCUUGAGAGAACUCGGGUGAAGGAACUAGGCAAAAUGGUGCCGUAACUUCGGGAGAAGGCACGCUGAUAUGUAGGUGAAGCGACUUGCUCGUGGAGCUGAAAUCAGUCGAAGAUACCAGCUGGCUGCAACUGUUUAUUAAAAACACAGCACUGUGCAAACACGAAAGUGGACGUAUACGGUGUGACGCCUGCCCGGUGCCGGAAGGUUAAUUGAUGGGGUUAGCGCAAGCGAAGCUCUUGAUCGAAGCCCCGGUAAACGGCGGCCGUAACUAUAACGGUCCUAAGGUAGCGAAAUUCCUUGUCGGGUAAGUUCCGACCUGCACGAAUGGCGUAAUGAUGGCCAGGCUGUCUCCACCCGAGACUCAGUGAAAUUGAACUCGCUGUGAAGAUGCAGUGUACCCGCGGCAAGACGGAAAGACCCCGUGAACCUUUACUAUAGCUUGACACUGAACAUUGAGCCUUGAUGUGUAGGAUAGGUGGGAGGCUUUGAAGUGUGGACGCCAGUCUGCAUGGAGCCGACCUUGAAAUACCACCCUUUAAUGUUUGAUGUUCUAACGUUGACCCGUAAUCCGGGUUGCGGACAGUGUCUGGUGGGUAGUUUGACUGGGGCGGUCUCCUCCUAAAGAGUAACGGAGGAGCACGAAGGUUGGCUAAUCCUGGUCGGACAUCAGGAGGUUAGUGCAAUGGCAUAAGCCAGCUUGACUGCGAGCGUGACGGCGCGAGCAGGUGCGAAAGCAGGUCAUAGUGAUCCGGUGGUUCUGAAUGGAAGGGCCAUCGCUCAACGGAUAAAAGGUACUCCGGGGAUAACAGGCUGAUACCGCCCAAGAGUUCAUAUCGACGGCGGUGUUUGGCACCUCGAUGUCGGCUCAUCACAUCCUGGGGCUGAAGUAGGUCCCAAGGGUAUGGCUGUUCGCCAUUUAAAGUGGUACGCGAGCUGGGUUUAGAACGUCGUGAGACAGUUCGGUCCCUAUCUGCCGUGGGCGCUGGAGAACUGAGGGGGGCUGCUCCUAGUACGAGAGGACCGGAGUGGACGCAUCACUGGUGUUCGGGUUGUCAUGCCAAUGGCACUGCCCGGUAGCUAAAUGCGGAAGAGAUAAGUGCUGAAAGCAUCUAAGCACGAAACUUGCCCCGAGAUGAGUUCUCCCUGACUCCUUGAGAGUCCUGAAGGAACGUUGAAGACGACGACGUUGAUAGGCCGGGUGUGUAAGCGCAGCGAUGCGUUGAGCUAACCGGUACUAAUGAACCGUGAGGCUUAACCUU
rnacentral:rRNA from 1 species